AACGAACGCUGGCGGCAGGCCUAACACAUGCAAGUCGAGCGCGCCCUUCGGGGUGAGCGGCGGACGGGUGAGUAACGCGUGGGAACGUGCCCUUUUCUACGGAAUAGCCUCGGGAAACUGAGAGUAAUACCGUAUACGCCCUUUGGGGGAAAGAUUUAUCGGAAAAGGAUCGGCCCGCGUUGGAUUAGGUAGUUGGUGGGGUAAUGGCCUACCAAGCCGACGAUCCAUAGCUGGUUUGAGAGGAUGAUCAGCCACACUGGGACUGAGACACGGCCCAGACUCCUACGGGAGGCAGCAGUGGGGAAUCUGAGACAAUGGGGGCAACCCUGAUCUAGCCAUGCCGCGUGAGUGAUGAAGGCCUUAGGGUUGUAAAGCUCUUUCAGCUGGGAAGAUAAGGACGGUACCAGCAGAAGAAGCCCCGGCUAACUCCGG
rnacentral:rRNA from 1 species